AGUAAAUUGUAGCUAUGGUCCCUUAACUUUAACUCAAUUGGAGCAAUGGUCCCUCAACUAAAAAUCCAUUACCAUUGGUCCCUCAACUCAUCAAAACGUGCAGCUAUGGUCCCUCAACUAAAAAUCCAUUACCAUUGGUCUCUCAACUCAUCAAAACGUGUAGCUAUGGUCCCUCAACUGUAAUUCAACUGGAGAAAUGGUCCCUUAACUUUAACCCAAUUGUAGCAAUGGUCAUUCCAACAUAACUCGUUUUGACAAAACUUUUGACGUAGU
rnacentral:lncRNA from 1 species